CAAAAACUACUGCAUGAAAAGAGUAAACAAAAUGUAUUUCAGUCACUAUACAAUUGGCUAUUACAAACUAAUGGGAUUUCAUUCCUUUCUUGGUUUUCAGGAAGUAAAGUGACAUUGCCUGCUGCUGAAAAGGCUCAUCUGCUUAAUGCUUCUCCAAUAUGUCUUCUGAAAAAGAUUUGCCAACAGGAUCCUUGUCUUCUCAUCCUGCCAGAACAACUUCUGAACAUUCCACACAGACCUUGUCAUCAGAGGGAGAGGAUACUGAUGUGGAGCUAGACGAGAAGAAUCUUCAGGAUGAAGUUCCAUUCAGCAGAGAGCAAGAGUCUCUGGAGGAGAAGGAAUAUUCAGAGGAGGAAGAGUUUCUGGAAGAGGAAGAUUAUCCAGAGGAGGAAGAGUUUCUGGAGGAGGAAGAAUAUCCAGAGGAGGAAGAGUCUCUGGAGAGAUAUAAGUUUCUGGAGGGAGAAUAUCAUCUGAAAGGAAAAGAUCUUUUUAAAGAAGAGGACCUGGAGGAGGAAAUGCAUGUGGCAGAAAAAGAGUAUCCUUUCAAACAGUAUCUGGAACCAAUAGAAUUUGAGGAGCCUGAUUCAACAGCAAUUGUGACUAAUCUUGAUGCAAGGAGCUCAACUGCCAGUACUUUUCAGGAGAGUGGUUUUAUUACCAUCCCAUCUAUCUUCACUACCCCUGCUCCUGCCUCUGAGACUGCCAUCGAGUCUGCCAUGGAGUCGACUUCCUGCUGCCUGAUGGUUCCUACACCUUCCCUAAGACACCAGGCUAGUCAGACAGAAUGGACCUAUGAGGGAACAUCCUCAAAAUUGAAACCAAAAACAGAGCCAAGAAUCUCAUUACUGUCCACUAUGAAGUCUGAUUUGGAAGAUGACGCUGAAAUGGAGGAAGAUGGAGAUGAUGGUGAGAAUACAACAUAAUCUAUUCAAAGAUUCCUGGUUUCAGCAGAGUAUUCUGGGCUGGGAAAGGUCCUUCAAGUAAUUACCUCCAUUGCUCGUCCACCUUACACCAAAUUCCAGAGUUAACCUGGGGACAUACUGGGCACAUGCCCCUAGAAACUCCUACAGAAGGAGUAUAAACCAAGCAACAGUCUCCAGAGGAAGACAGAAUGAUCUAGGACAGGACCAGAAGGCCUUCUCCCUACUCAAAAGUGCUGGACGAGGGCCUCCUACAUUUACAGAGGGUCCAGGCUACUGCUGGGUACUCUGGGAAGCAGGGCGUUAGUGGCCUGCAUGCCCUUCCAUCCAGAUAGACUCAUCUGGUGGCCCCUUGGUAGCAAAUAAUUUGAAACUCUUCUAAAUGAUGUCCUUAAGGAUUUAUUAAAUUUUUAUUGAAGAGGGGCUAGGUAGAUGCUAAUGGGAGAAGGACAAGAGAAAAUCCUUAUGGUAUGGCAGGAUCCCAACUUGCACAGCAGCUCUUCACAAAACAAAAGCACUGUGAUUGGCCAGGCCCAUCCGUAUCAGAAAACAAUUUAAGGGCUAUGGUCUGUUAUACUAGACACGGGGGUUUAGAAUCAGGUCUCUAGUACACACACCCCACUCUAACCCUAUCUUGCACCCAACCUGUGGCUUUUCAAACACUUCGGAACUCUGGACUAUGGCCCCACCAAGUCCUCUGCGACCCCGGAAGGGUGCUGCUGAUACAGCUUUCUCCAUCUUACUGCAUUUCCAAGAGUGUUGCAGUGUGGGAGAGAGACCGGGCUCAGCUGCAGAUGCUGGCUAGGCAAGUGGGGCUCACAGCCAAGAAACGGGUUGAGGGCCACUGGAUGGAAAGUUCUGACCAGGAAACAUCAGGAGAAGGGAACUGGAGCUGCACUGACCUCCCAGGGUUUCUGUUGAAGUCAGACAUCACCUAGGGGAUGGAGAAGGCACGGUAAACGAGAAGGCUCAACAGCCUGACUAAUGUCGGGCCAAGAAAAGCAUCUUCGUCACUAUAACAUAAGGAUUAUUGUAUUGACUUUCCAGAGCUCAUACACACAGCUCAAACAUUUAUCCUAAUCCGGGAAGCAAAGUUCUGUCAAAAACCCUAUAGGAGAGACACUUGCAUGAGGAAGAAUUAAGAUUUGUUCUUAAUCAGCCUAGGGAAAGAACACGGCCCAGCUGGAGAACUGUGUGUGCCAGGUGGACCUACGUUAACACUGGCUCUCCCUCCAGGCCUCUGUAGAGAUGAGUCUUGUGCCUAUUGCAUAGACAGAGGCUAGGACACAAGAGAGGGGGGGUGACAUGUCAGAAGUAGCCCGGGUCUCAUAAGACCCUUCCCUGUUCUCCCCCUCCUCCAUGAGGGCAUUUCGGGAGUAGAUGAUGUUCUCAUCAGAACAGAGGUAGAGGAUUCGCCACAGAAAUCCUCAAAGGAACAGUUAAGUAGAAACAAAACUGCCCUUCUCACUCAGCCCCAGUUACAGCAGUGCUGCAGCUCACUUCCCAACUGACUCAGGAAUGUCCACAAUGCCCGCUGGUGUUAACCAACUUAAUUAUCGUGCCAAUCGGAUACUUCUGUGCACCAGUUUGAUAUUCAGAGAUGCUGAGUUCCCCUUCUUUGGAUGAGAGACACCUACUUGCCCUCUCAGAUUAACUAUGCUUUAUUCAAUAAAGCCUACUAAAAUGUCCCAGUCACAAAUCGGGUGGGGGUGAACUGUCAGAGCCAGCGCAGCCUCGUUCUCCAUCCUGGGCAGCCCUGUGGAAGGCAGCCCACCUCCCUGCAUCCAGCACCUGACAUUCAUGUCUAGACUCAGACCCCGCUUCUCCCAAUUCAUCCACUCCUCCUCUCUGACACUGCCCAUGGGGAGCUUCCCAAGUGCUCCCUCGAAUUACCCUGGGUUGUUCUUGAGUUUUCCUAAAUGGCUUCUGCAGAAGUUCCCAUGGUCAGCCCUACAGCAGACAGUCAGGGAACACACAUUCUUUUUGGAAUCACGCUGCCCCUGCCCCUUGCCCGUGCCAGUGGUGGCGGCAUGUAUGCCUUUGUAGGAGAUGAUGGAAAUAAAUGGCCACUGGGGGCUUCUCACACAUGACAGGUGUCUGUUGAGUAAACCAGGCCUGUGAUAGGAGGUUUGCCACAGAAAGACCCUGGGUUGAGUAUCAGUGAAGCAGUUCCACUCCAGAGUUCGCAUCCUGUCAGGAGCCCAAGAGAGUCAGGGAUUUUAGUACUGAAGCCAAAUUGGAAGCAAUCCACAGUUUAAUGGGUCUGGCAGGGUCACAAGUAUGUCCCCUCUCAACCCCCAAAGGUGUAAUGAAGAUGAAAAGUCAAACUAAGUAAGUCAGCCCUGUGCCAAGCUGGUGGGUUUUCAAAGUUCUCACUUGCCCUACCCUGAAGGGUCUGGUGCCAUCCCGAAGCUGAGGGAAACAGGUUGCUGUCAUUUCCCUGGGGGCCCAAUUAUCCUGUGAAAGUCACUUUCUCCAAGUUCUUGCCUCAGAAGCCACCCCUUCCCAGAGGAGGAAAGAGAGGCCCACGUUGUAAUUGUCAAGUCCACAGUUCAAUUUACACCUGUCACAACGGAGGCUCCCAGCCACCUCCUGACCCAGAGAGGCACCAGGUUGUGGCCCACCUUGAGGAACAUAGUUGCUUUGAUUAGCAACUGUGAACCACAGGCAAUUCUAGAAAUUAGCCAUUUAUGACAAAACUGGUAGGAGAUAAAAUAUUUCUUGGGAUUUCUGAAGAAAAUCACAUGCAGAGUAAAUCUACCUUUAUAGUAAAAUCUAAAGUCCUUCCCACAGCCUACAAUUGUCUCUGCGAGCUGACCGCGGCCCUCUUAACCAGCUACGCUUCUUCAUGCUCCUUCCCUUGCACUUUGUCAACAGGUUUAGUGGCCCCGAGUUCACCCCAGCGCUUGGCACCGCCUAGUCCCCAGCUGGGCAUGCUCUUCCCCAGCUCCCCACCCGUUCAUCCCCUUGUCCUUCAGCCCCAGGGGAACAGUGCUCUGACGGACAGACACUCAUCACCCUCCAGGAGACACCCGCGCAUCCUUAAGUCAGCGCAGGAAACAGACCCCUUUGUUCUUAUUGUGCUAGCGCCCCAGCUGAACUUCAGGUGAUCUGAUGAGUGUAUUUAGUCUCAUUGAUGAUGGAUGCAUUUUUAAAGAGCAAAGGUAACUGUCCUAAAUUUAUUUAUUUAUUUUGGUUCUCCUUCCAAUUGCCUUUCCUUUCAAUGUGCCUACUGAAAUUGAAAGCCAUGGAUAUUUACAAAAAAACCUUUUGGGAUUCCCUACUGACGGAGCAGGAAAUUGACAAAGAGGAAGUCAAGAAAUUUCAUGAGAAUGUAAGUUUCAUAAAAAUUUGAGAUCAUCUCCUCCAAAUAUUAGAGAAGGAGGCACCCACAGGCAGCAUACCUUCUGCACAGCUGUGUGAGGUUCUGACACGGGGAGCAUUUUGCAGCCUUCCACAGAGCCCCACGGACAAGCGGGCUGAGCAGGGAGCUCCCGUUGCAAGCACCAGGCCAUUGCAGGGCUUUGUCACUGAAGGAUUUCAGGCAUGUUUGUGACACAACCAGAUUAGCCGUUUUUGUUUAUUUAUUUAAGUAGUUUGAUUUAACCUAGCUUUUGACUCCUGCAACUAUCAUGUACACAUGGUUUUUAAAUAUUGAAAUGAUCAAAAGGCUGUAAAAUAAAUUUUUCAAGUCUCUUCCCAUAAUAGCUACUGUGUACUAUGCUUUAGCCUUCUGGAAAAUGUAAUGCAUAUAUAAAUAUACAUAUCUUUUAAAAAUGUGCAUAUCCAUGAACAGCUUCAUAAUAUACAUUUACAGCUCUUAUUUCUCUUAGUAACAUAUUUUUGAAAUCCGUGGUAUUCCAUUGUAUCUUAAACAUAACUAGCACCCUAUUAAUGGAUGUUUGUUUCUGAUACAUAAAGAGAGAGGAAGAGGGAGAGCAGUGAACUGUAUAUAUAUUAUUAAAUAUGCAAGUUUAUCUAAAGAAUAAAUUCUUAGCAGUUGAAUGCUGCAUCUAAAGAACCUACAUCCUCAGUUAAGAAGGUACUGACACAUUUCCCUACAAGCACACAGGUUGAGCCAUUUUGCUUUUCCCUAGAGAUCACAAGAGUACCUCCUUCAUCACUGCCUUACCCACCAAGGGUCAUAAUUGGGCCCAUCUGACAGAGUGAAAAUAAUGAUGCCUCACCAUUGCCUCUUGUAUCUCCUCAUUAUCAAGGAUGCCGGGUGUCUUUCACAUUCUUGGGUCACGCAUGUCUCUUUCUUUGGAGGACCAUCUUCUGCCUUUUGC
ensembl:lincRNA